CGAGAAAUGCAGCUAUAGCUGAGCUAAAGCUUAAAGCAGCACAAGGCAAGAAACAAUGGUCGUCUCCAAGAGAAUCUCCUACUGGACGGUGGCAGAAGUUUUUGAAUGGGUGAGGGAACAGUACCCUUCUCAAUCCAAAGCUCUCCAGCAGGCAAUAGCCAAACAUGCCAUCUCAGGUCGAGUUCUCUUGAGGAUGAAGAAGGAACAACUGAGCAGGCUGGGGAUAGAGUCAAAGCUCCAGCAGGAGUUUCUAAGGGAUGUUCUUCUCCUCAGGAUUCAGGAGGAACUGGAGAACCUCAACAACAUCUAUUACUAGAGUUCUUCUCGUCUUCUCUACACAUCCUUUGAGACCCACAGCGCUGAGCUAUCUUCUCACAGUGGAAGGAUGGACAGUAACAUCUCUGGAUGUUUUCAGAUCUGAAGCUGCGUGAUUCUGCGUGAAUUCUCUGCAUCUAAUUAAAGUCUAGUUUUGGAAAC